UACGAAGGUGGCAAGCGUUACUCGGAAUUACUAGGCGUAAAGGGCAGGUAGGUGGUUUGGUAAGUCUAUUGUGAAAGCUCCCGGCUUAACUGGGAGAGGUCAAUAGAUACUGCCGGACUUGAGUAUAGGAGAGGUUACUGGAAUUCCCGGUGUAGCGGUGAAAUGCGCAGAGAUCGGGAGGAACACCAAUGGCGAAAGCAGGUAACUGGACUAUUACUGACACUCAGCUGCGAAAGCUAGGGGAGCAAACAGG
rnacentral:rRNA from 1 species